AAACAAACGCUUAAAUAUAGAGACAAAGCUGCAUUUUGGUCGUUUUGUUGUACGCUUUUCCGUCUUUCUUUUUUUUAUGGAAGGUAUGGGAUGGCCUGGAAGAGCAACAGACACCGCGGCGACUGCCAUUCUUUCUGCUGAAAUCAGGGAUUUUCAUUGUGAACUAAAACUGUGAUAAUUUUGGAUUGGUACAUUUACGACCGUAAACUAGAAGUGGAGCGGAUGCGAUUCUGUGUCGUCAAGUGGCCCCGAUGCUUAGAUCGAUUCAGAAUCUCCAGUGCUAAUCGACAAAGACUCAGCGUUCAAGUGGUCGCCGAUGCAGCAUUUCGGAUGUUUGUUGAUACUAUGUUUUAGCGUUUAAGUGGGCCGCAACAAUGUACUUGGUGAUAUAUAGUUACUGGUACCGUAGCAGGUGUAGCUAUAGUGGGUGUGAAGGUGGCAUGUGGUGUAGUCUCUGGUGUGAAAAUUGUUGUGUUCUUUGGGAAACAUGCGACGACAAAUACUACUAUCAGUAGUAUAUCGAGCAUCGUCUGUUGUAUUCCCAACUGGUGGGUUGUCCUGUUUCUCUUAAUCGUCUCUACCCGAGGUAUGUCCAACAUCAAUUCUUCUGUGCCAAGCCUCUCCACCGCUUCGUAUUGUACGUUGUACACCAUCGCCUUGCAAUGGGUGAAUGUUUUGUCGACUCCGAAAUCCGUCU
rnacentral:lncRNA from 1 species